GACGAACGCUGGCGGCGUGCUUAACACAUGCAAGUCGAACGGAAAGGCCCUGCUUUUGUGGGGUGCUCGAGUGGCGAACGGGUGAGUAACACGUGAGUAACCUGCCCUUGACUUUGGGAUAACUUCAGGAAACUGGGGCUAAUACCGGAUAGGAGCUCCUGCUGCAUGGUGUGGGUUGGAAAGUUUCGGCGGUUGGGGAUGGACUCGCGGCUUAUCAGCUUGUUGGUGGGGUAGUGGCUUACCAAGGCUUUGACGGGUAGCCGGCCUGAGAGGGUGACCGGCCACAUUGGGACUGAGAUACGGACCAGACUCCUACGGGAGGCAGCAGUGGGGAAUAUUGCACAAUGGGCGGAAGCCUGAUGCAGCAACGCCGCGUGCGGGAUGACGGCCUUCGGGUUGUAAACCGAUUUCGCCUGUGACGAAGCGUGAGUGACGGUAAUGGGUAAAGAAGCACCGGCUAACUACGUG
rnacentral:rRNA from 1 species